rnacentral:rRNA from 1 species
GAGUUUGAUCUUGGCUCAGAUUGAACGCUGGCGGCAUGCCUUACACAUGCAAGUCGAACGGCAGCAUGAUCUAGCUUGCUAGAUUGAUGGCGAGUGGCGAACGGGUGAGUAAUACAUCGGAACGUGCCCUGUAGUGGGGAUAACUAGUCGAAAGAUUAGCUAAUACCGCAUACGACCUGAGGGUGAAAGUGGGGGACCGCAAGGCCUCAUGCUAUAGGAGCGGCCGAUGUCUGAUUAGCUAGUUGGUGGGGUAAAGGCCCACCAAGGCGACGAUCAGUAGCUGGUCUGAGAGGACGAUCAGCCACACUGGGACUGAGACACGGCCCAGACUCCUACGGGAGGCAGCAGUGGGGAAUUUUGGACAAUGGGCGAAAGCCUGAUCCAGCAAUGCCGCGUGUGUGAAGAAGGCCUGG